rnacentral:rRNA from 1 species
GACGAACGCUGGCGGCGUGCUUAACACAUGCAAGUCGAACGGAAAGGCCCUGCUUUUGUGGGGUGCUCGAGUGGCGAACGGGUGAGUAACACGUGAGUAACCUGCCCUUGACUUUGGGAUAACUUCAGGAAACUGGGGCUAAUACCAGAUAGGAGCUCCUGCUGCAUGGUGGGGGUUGGAAAGUUUCGGCGGGUGGGGAUGGACUCGCGGCUUAUCAGCUUGUUGGUGGGGUAGUGGCUUACCAAGGCUUUGACUGGUAGCCGGCCUGGGAGGGUGACCGGCCACAUUGGGACUGAGAUACGGCGCAGACGGCUACGGGAGGCAGCAGUGGGGAAUAUGGCACAAUGGGCGGAAGCCUGAUGCAGCAACGCCGCGUGCGGGAUGACGGCCUGCGGGUUGUAAACCGCUUUCGCCUGUGACGAAGCGGGAGUGACGGUAAUGGGUAAAGAAGCACCGGCUAACUACGUG